GCCCUACGGGGGAAAAAUUUAUUGCUAUUAGAUGAGCCUAUAUUAGAUUAGUUAGUUGGUGAGGUAAAGGCUUACCAAGACAAUGAUCUAUAGCUGAUCUGAGAGGAUGAUCAGCCACACUGGAACUGAGAUACGGUCCAGACUCCUACGGGAGGCAGCAGUGGGGAAUAUUGGACAAUGGGCGAAAGCCUGAUCCAGCCAUGCCGCAUGAGUGAAGAAGGCCUUCGGGUUGUAAAGCUCUUUUAGUGAGGAAGAUAAUGACGGUACUCACAGAAGAAGUCCUGGCUAACUCCGUGCCAGCAGCCGCGGUAAUACGGAGAGGGCUAGCGUUAUUCGGAAUCAUUGGGCGUAAAGGGCGCGUAGGCGGGUUAGUAAGUUAAAAGUGAAAUCCCAAGGCUCAACCUUGGAACUGCUUUUAAAACUGCUAGUCUAGAGAUUGAAAGAGGAUAGAGGAAUUCCUAGUGUAGAGAUGAAAUUCGUAAAUAUUAGGAGGAACACCAGUGGCGAAGGCGUCUAUCUGGUUCAAAUCUGACGCUGANGCGCGAAGGCGUGGGGAGCAAACAGGAUUAGAUACCCUGGUAGUCCACGCUGUAAACGAUGAAUGUUAAAUAUGGGAAGUUUACUUUCUGUAUUAUAGCUAACGCGUUAAACAUUCCGCCUNGGGACUAC
rnacentral:rRNA from 1 species